GGGUUCUCGUGUGACGUAACAGUCAGCUGCACGGAGAACAGUGAACCAGCCAGGCAGGUUGCGUGUCACAGGGGAGUUUUUUGGUAAAACUUGGAAUAAUGUGCACCAUAACGGUACUCUCGGUCAUGGGCUAGGCCUCCGGUGGGACGCCUGACCAGGAUAAAGAUGUACAGCUGAGCAAGGGACACUGGUAGGGAUGGGGUGGAUUUUUUAAGCAUCGCAUGAGGGACGACCUUGACCAUCGUCAGGCUGAUCAGCAGUUCACCAAUACUCGUCGCAGUUAGACAUACGGAACUUCACACAACCGCCCGUUUGCAGCAUAUGUUGUCGUCGUACCUCCUGUGCAACACUAUUUAUGUCAGUGCUUUAAAGUGACUGUGUUAACCCAGUAAAGUCAGGGACUAAGUUCUUCACCAGGACAUAUGUGUAUGGCCUUGAACUUUACUCAUAUACAGUGGUUGUUAAAUAGUUAUUACAGUGAAGGCAAUUUAUUAAUUAACCACAACUUUAUUCUUGAGCUGGAACUUUAAAUUAUAAUACUCUAGUCACAGUAGUCUGUAUGGUGGGAACCGAACCAUUUAUAUUAUAGGAAAUGUAAUUUUUUUUAAGACUGCUGAAAUGGUUACAGACCCUGUCUGCUGUAACGUACAGUAUUCAUGUAAACAGGCUGUAUUAUUUUUGGUUUGUGGUCUUACUACGGGCAACCUAUUGCUUAUAACGGUUGGAUUUUCCCCCGGUUCACCAAGGCAGUACUUGUGAAAAUAUUUAAACUUUAUUUGUUGAUUUAUUAAAUGUUGUUAAUUUUAAACUUAUUUGUUGAGUAUUCUGUUUCCUGUUAUUUCUGUACACAAGACCGUGAGGGCAUCGCGACAACUUGGUGGCAGCGGUGGGAUGCCAGUGUUGAGUGUACAGAAAGAAGGGAUUCAGUUUAAACUACAUUUAAGUGUGUAAUGCCUGGGUAGUUAGGUUAAGAAAAAAAAAAGUUCUAUGCCAGUGUCUAUAACUUGAAUAAGUAAUUUUUUGCAGUACAUCUACAACCUGGUCAGGGGUAACGUCCAUGUUAUUGUAUAAUUGAGAAUAUACCAGUAAUCAACAGCUAUGGACUUAAUUGAGAAGUUGAUGGCGGCAGGAGCCAAGCUAUGCUUAGAAGGAGAAAACCUUCAGGGGUUCCUCAAAGACCAGCAGGAUAGGGCUCGAGAGGAAAGAGCGAUUGAACGUCAGGAGCGACAGGCAGCUGAUUGAAUCAAAGAGGAAACAAAUUGAGAUGUAGUUUCAAGAAAAGGCUCAAGCUAGAGAGCUAGAGUUGAUAAAUGCUCGUAAAAUGGAGGCCAAGGAGACUCAUGAGAGAGCAUUGGAAUUAGCGAGGCUUCAGCAGGAAUCGGGUCAUAUGGGAACUCGUGAGGGACCUGCUGAAGGAGUAUCCAGAAUGGGACUUGGGAAAUAUAACCCGAAAUUACCUCCCUUCGAAGAGGGAAACGACGACCUGGAUGCCUACCUCAGACGUUUUGAAACCUUUGCUAAGCUACAAGGCUGGACAGAAGACCGGUGGUCUGUAGCUCUUAGCACAUUGAUAAAAGGAAAAGCUUUGGAGGUGUUCUCCCGCCUCAAAGCCGACGACGCCUUGGACUAUGGGAGGCUUAAGAAAGCAUUACUCCAACGAUUUGACCAUACAGAAGAUGGUUUCCGGAACAGAUUCCGAAAUGGGAGAGUGGAAGGACAGGAGACAUUUUCACAGUAUACGACGAGACCCCCUAACUCUGCUAUUAUUGUCUGGUCACUUAUUUCCCACUCUAUCGAGAACGCAUUCCACACUGGUAUAUCUACUAUCGUAAUAAUUCACUAGUAGAUCACUAGUCAUCCCACUUACGUAAGAUACCUUUUUUGUAUUUAUCUCAACAUAUACAAGAUCCAACUUUUUAUGCCGAAGCUUCAAUUUCACCACUUGCUAAUGUCUGCACUAUUAAUGUCAGUAUCAUAGAUAAAUGUAUCGCCGGAGAAAGUUUCCUUGAUCAGCCAAUUAGAUAUCACUGCCCAACUUAUUGUUCAUUUAACUUUGUUAAACCGUUGCAGCAGUCGUUCAGGCGGCACGUUUGGCUCUUUGACCAUGGUAAAUAUGAAUUGUUUAGGAUUAAAUUGAGCACAGUUAACAGGAAUAAUAUAUUAGAUGUUGAGGAUUUAAAUUGUGCAGUAAAAUGUUUUAUUUCUACCUUAUUAGAGAUUGCGAAAUCCUGUAUUCCAAACAAAUUUGUAACCGUCAGAUCAAACAAUUCUCCAUGGCUGUCAAACGAAAUAAGUAAGCUUAUUCGCAAACGGAAACGAGUACACAAAAGAGCCAAACGUACCAUGCACAUUGGUUGGCAUUCCGGCAUAUCCGUGUUAUAUGUGUUAAUACUAUAAAAAAAGGCUAUAUUUCCGUACUUUAAUGGUUUAUUUGGAAAACUUAAAAAAAACCCUCAAAUUUUAGAGCAAAAGACUGGUGGAAAACUGUUGAUUUAUUAUUACCGAACUCUGUUAAAUUUGGCAUACAAUGUACCUCCUUUAAUCCAUAACGAUUCUGUAAUCAUUGACACCCCUAGAAUAAGUGCUAAAGUUCUUAAUUCUGAUUUUAAAAAAAUACAUGAAAGGUCGAAAGAUUGGUUGGUUGUUUUUAAUCCUAAUAAAACUGAAACUUUAUUAAUAAGCCGAAAAUCCGUCAGUCUCGUCCAUCCCCUCCCUGACUAUGAAUAAUACUAAUAUUACUGAAGUUUCGUCACACAAACACCUUGGUGUAUUUCUCUCUUGUAAUGGGUGUUGGGAUGAUCACAUCAGCUAUUUAUUGACAAUGAUCUCGCCCAAAAUAAAUAUUCUGCGGAAAUUCAAAUUUUCGUUAGAUCGUCUUAGUCUCCAAACCUUGUAUUUCACACACAUUCGAACCAUAAUGGAAUACGGCAACAUUGUCUGGGACUGCCUCACACAGGCUCAAUCCGACCUUCUUGAAAACAUUCAGUUAGAAGCAGCACGUAUUGUUACUGGUGCAACUAGACUUACUAGUAAAGUCAAGAUUUAUACUGAAACAGGCUGGCUUCCCCUCCAACGAAGACGACAACAACAUAAAUUAAUACAAUUCAUUAAAUGUGAUCAAUCAUAAGCCAGACUUAAAAAACAUUUAAAUGAACCUAAUAUUAUUGUUCCUUCUUUCCGUUAUAGCGGUAGCCGGAUGGCUCAGAUUCUCCGUGCCAGAUUAAGGAUGGAGUGCAGUUCUCUCAAAUUUUACUUGUUCCGUAGAAACGAGUACUGUUAUUUGGGAAUGAUGAACUGACUGAUGAUCAAAAUGCUCUUAUCUUCUUAUGUGAGAUUUGACUGAUGCUCAUACUCCUAUUUCCUGUCUGAAUGAUCUUUUAUCUCAUUGCAUAGUUGUCGAAAACUAUCUGUUCUCAUUGUUUCAGUGUCAAACUAUUUAACUGACAUGCUGAACCACCACCACCACCACCACCCCUCCCCCUCCCAACCCUUUUCUACUUUCCAAUUCCACUUUUUUCUGUAAUUACGUUACUGUUUUUUGUAUACAUAUAUACAUCAACUACAUCAUGUAUCAUUUAAAUGUGUUUACUGUACUGGAGACGGAUUUUACAUACGUGUUUAACACUUGUUUCCGAAUCCCUAGGUGUGUUCGCUGUAUUGAAUGUAAAGGAUGUAUAUUGAAUGAAAUAAAGUUAAUACUAAAUCG